rnacentral:rRNA from 1 species
CGGAUUGGAGUCUGCAACCCGACUCCAUGAAGCUGGAUUCGCUAGUAAUCGCGCAUCAGCCACGGCGCGGUGAAUACGUUCCCGGGCCUUGUACACACCGCCCGUCAAGCCAUGGAAGCCGGGAGUGCCUGAAGUACGCGACCGCAAGGAGCGUCCUAAGGUAAAACCGGUGACUGGGGCUAAGUCGUAACAAGGUAGC